AUUAGACGAAUCAUCUGGAAAGAUGAAUCAAAGAAGGUAAUAAUCCUGUAGUCGAAAAUGUUGUCUCUCUUGAGUGGAUCCUGAGUACGACGGAGCACGUGAAAUUCCGUCGGAAUCUGGGAGGACCAUCUCCUAAGGCUAAAUACUCUCUAGUGACCGAUAGUGAACCAGUACCGUGAGGGAAAGGUGAAAAGCACCCCGGAAGGGGAGUGAAAUAGAACCUGAAACCGUGUGCUUACAAGUAGUCAGAGCCCGUUAAUGGGUGAUGGCGUGCCUUUUGUAGAAUGAACCGGCGAGUUACGAUUUGAUGCAAGGUUAAGCAGUAAAUGUGGAGCCGUAGCGAAAGCGAGUCUGAAUAGGGCGUUUAGUAUUUGGUCGUAGACCCGAAACCAGGUGAUCUACCCUUGGUCAGGUUGAAGUUCAGGUAACACUGAAUGGAGGACCGAACCGACUUACGUUGAAAAGUGAGCGGAUGAACUGAGGGUAGCGGAGAAAUUCCAAUCGAACCUGGAGAUAGCUGGUUCUCUCCGAAAUAGCUUUAGGGCUAGCCUCAAGUGAUGAUUAUUGGAGGUAGAGCACUGUUUGGACGAGGGGCCCCUCUCGGGUUACCGAAUUCAGACAAACUCCGAAUGCCAAUUAAUUUAACUUGGGAGUCAGAACAUGGGUGAUAAGGUCCGUGUUCGAAAGGGAAACAGCCCAGACCACCAGCUAAGGUCCCAAAAUAUAUGUUAAGUGGAAAAGGAUGUGGCGUUGCCCAGACAACUAGGAUGUUGGCUUAGAAGCAGCCAUCAUUUAAAGAGUGCGUAAUAGCUCACUAGUCGAGUGACACUGCGCCGAAAAUGUACCGGGGCUAAACA
rnacentral:rRNA from 1 species